AGUGAACGCUGGCGGUAGGCCUAACACAUGCAAGUCGAACGGCAGCACAGUAAGAGCUUGCUCUUACGGGUGGCGAGUGGCGGACGGGCGAGGAAUACAUCGGAAUCUACUUUUUCGUGGGGGAUAACGUAGGGAAACUUACGCUAAUACCGCAUACGACCUACGGGUGAAAGCAGGGGAUCUUCGGACCUUGCGCGAUUGAAUGAGCCGAUGUCGGAUUAGCUAGUUGGCGGGGUAAAGGCCCACCAAGGCGACGAUCCGUAGCUGGUCUGAGAGGAUGAUCAGCCACACUGGAACUGAGACACGGUCCAGACUCCUACGGGAGGCAGCAGUGGGGAAUAUUGGACAAUGGGCGCAAGCCUGAUCCAGCCAUACCGCGUGGGUGAAGAAGGCCUUCGGGUUGUAAAGCCCUUUUGUUGGGAAAGAAAAGCAGCAGGUUAAUACCCCGCUGUUCUGACGGUACCCAAAGAAUAAGCACCGGCGAACUUCGG
rnacentral:rRNA from 1 species